rnacentral:rRNA from 1 species
UGGUGGGGUGGCAUGUCUGCCUAAUUGCGAUAACGAACGAGACCUUAACCUGCUAAAUAGCCCGCAUUGCUCCGGCAGUGCGCUGGCUUCUUAGAGGGACUUUCGGCUCAAGCCGAAGGAAGUUUGAGGCAAUAACA